UACGGAGGAUGCGAGCGUUAUCCGGAUUUAUUGGGUUUAAAGGGUGCGCAGGCGGAUUUUUAAGUCAGCGGUCAAAUCGUGGGGCUCAACCCCAUCCAGCCGUUGAAACCGGAGCGCUAGAAUUCCGAUGCCGUCGGAGGAAUGUGUGGUGUAGCGGUGAAAUGCAUAGAUAUCACACAGAACACCGAUUGCGAAGGCAGCUUACCAAGCUACUUCUGACGUUGAGGCACGAAAGCGUGGGGAGCAAACAGG
rnacentral:rRNA from 1 species